CAUGCCGCGUGUGUGAAGAAGGCUUUCGGGUUGUAAAGCACUUUCAGUGAGGAGGAAGGCCUUAAGGUUAAUACCCUUGAGGAUUGACGUUACUCACAGAAGAAGCACCGGCUAACUCCGUGCCAGCAACUUCGGUGACUGAGCGGGCUGGCAAGGCGCAUA
rnacentral:rRNA from 1 species